AAACGAUGAACACUAGGUGUCGGGGGAAUCGACCCCUUCGGUGUCGUAGCUAACGCGUUAAGUGUUCCGCCUGGGGAGUACGCACGCAAGUGUGAAACUCAAAGGAAUUGACGGGGGCCCGCACAAGCGGUGGAGUAUGUGGUUUAAUUCGAUGCAACGCGAAGAACCUUACCAGGGUUUGACAUCCUGCGAACCUCUUAGAAAUUUGAGUGUGCCUUCGGGAAUGCAGUGACAGGUGGUGCAUGGCUGUCGUCAGCUCGUGUCGUGAGAUGUUGGGUUAAGUCCCGCAACGAGCGCAACCCACGUUUUUAGUUGCCAGCAUUUAGUUGGGCACUCUAGAAAGACCGCCGGUGAUAAACCGGAGGAAGGUGUGGAUGACGUCAAGUCAUCAUGCCCCUUACACCCUGGGCUACACACGUACUACAAUGCUACGGACAAAGGGCAGCAAACUCGCGAGAGCUAGCAAAUCCCAUAAACCGUGGCUCAGUUCAGAUCGUAGGCUGCAACUCGCCUACGUGAAGUAGGAAUCGCUAGUAAUCGCAGGUCAGCAUACUGCGGUGAAUACGUUCCCGGGCCUU
rnacentral:rRNA from 1 species